UACGAAGGGGGCUAGCGUUGCUCGGAAUUACUGGGCGUAAAGGGCGCGUAGGCGGAUGUUUAAGUCGGGGGUGAAAGCCCGGGGCUCAACCUCGGAAUUGCCUUCGAUACUGGACAUCUUGAGUACGGGAGAGGUGAGUGGAACUCCGAGUGUAGAGGUGAAAUUCGUAGAUAUUGGGUGGAACACCGGUGGCGAAAGCGGCUCUCUGGUCCGGACCUGACGCUGAGGCGCGAAAGCGUGGGGAGCAAACAGG
rnacentral:rRNA from 1 species